rnacentral:rRNA from 1 species
CCUACGGGCGGCAGCAGUGAGGAAUAUUGGUCAAUGGGAGAGAUCCUGAACCAGCCAAGCCGCGUGAGGGAAGACGGCCCUAUGGGUUGUAAACCUCUUUUGUCGGAGAACAAAACCCGGGACGUGUCCCGGACUGCGUGUACCCGAAGAAAAAGCAUCGGCUAACUCCGUGCCAGCAGCCGCGGUAAUACGGAGGAUGCGAGCGUUAUCCGGAUUUAUUGGGUUUAAAGGGUGCGCAGGCGGGAGAUCAAGUCAGCGGUAAAAUGUCGGGGCUCAACCCCGGCCGGCCGUUGAAACUGGUUUUCUAGAGUUGGAGAGAAGUAUGCGGAAUUCGUGGUGUAGCGGUGAAAUGCAUAGAUAGCACGAAGAACUCCGAUUGCGAAGGCAGCAUACCGGCUCCAUACUGACGCUGAGGCACGAAAGCGUGGGGAUCGAACAGGAUUAGAUACCCCAGUAGUC